GUUUGUCUCAGCAGAGGGGAACACAACCUGGAAUUUUUAUUCUUCUCUGUGCAAAGAAAAAUCAAGGAAUCAUGGAAUUAUUGAGUUUGGAAGAGACACCCAGUGAUCACUGCCUUGAGGAGCCUGUUCAGUGCCCAACCACCCUCUGGGGGAAGAACCUUUUCCUAAGUUUGGGCUGCCUGUUCCCCUCCCUGGAAACAGGAAGGAAAAACAGAGCCACCUUAAUCACCAAGCUACGUGGGGCUGGAUGCACUUCCAGGGAUCUGCUCUUACCACUGAAUGAUUCUGCCUUUCAUCUCCUCUGAACAUGGAGUUCUGAACUUCCAUCCUCAAAUUCCCGAUGGGCUACAGCAGGAAAGAUGAGUGGAACAUAAAAAACUUCAAAGACAGCUACUUCAAACUCUUGCAGACUUCCAUCUCUCCCUUCAUCACCCGUUUUCUCUCACUCUUUUGGUGUAACUCUUGGUUAAUGUUUUAAUUUCCAGCUCAAUUGGUUUUUUUUCCCCCACUUGUAGAGGAAACCAAGAGUUUUCUGACUCUGUAGUAGGUUUCCCUGCGGUCACAUGUGCAAAAUCCAAGGAAAAAGUAGGUUAAUAACCACAGAAAGGCCCUUAUGUUGCCUGACAGCUCUAGUGGGCACUUUCCAAGUGUCACUGGGUUCUUUAACCCACAGCCCCAGCACUGAUCACAUCAUAUGGGAAUGAUGAAAUUCAACCAAACUCAGCUUCCUGCAGCUUUUAUUUCUGUUUUUGUUUCCCAUUGUGCUCUGGAGGCUGACAACAGGUGAGGAAUGUUAUUUUAUGGCCUGGUUUCCAUCACUGAGCAGGUCCCCUUUGGUGGGAAAGAAAUCAUCAGGAAGAUUCCGGUUGGACUCAGACUGCCAGAGGGGAGGGCUGGAUGGGAGAUUGGGAAGGAAUUCCUCCCUGUGAGGAUGGGGAGGAGCUGGGAUGGAAUUCCCAGAGCAGCUGGGGCUGCCCCUGGAUCCCUGGCAGUGCCCAAGGCCAGGCUGGACACCGGGACAGGGGAAGGUGUCCCUGCCAUGGCAGGGGUGGCACUGGAUGAGUUUUAGGGUCCCUUCCAACCCAAACCAUUGUGGGACUCUGUAAUUGUGGUUGUGGUGAUACUGAGAGCUUUUUCCAAGGGCUGCCCCGUGGAUCUGUGGGAAAUCUCGGGGCGAGAUUCCCACUGGCACCAGUGAAACCAGACCCUGCUGCUGUUCCCAGCUCCACUAAAGUCUGUUUAAACAGAGCCAAUAAAUCCCAUCUCUCCUGGUAACCUCUAAAAGAAACUCUGAGUUCAGGUUUAAAUUAACUCCGUAAUUAGAGUGACAACAAUUAAAGAGUGCAAAUCCUUAUUUAUUUGCCCAGCUGUUACCAGCAGUGCUCAAACAUUGAGAGUUACAGAUAUCUUUUAACUUUAUCUGGGUUUGUUUGUACAACAUUCUGACUAAACAGUAACAAAGCUGGCAAAGUGUGACAUCAUCCUGUGUCAUACCUGCAGUGUGUGGGAGGGAGACAAGGGAAAUCUGAGAAUCCAAAGCCCACAGACUCCCCUGAUGAUGAGGGGAUUUGUUCCUUCCAUAACUCAGAACAUCACAAAAAAGCAAUGUAAUAUUAUGCAGUUAUUCUCAAUAAAUAUUUACAGUGAAUUUUAAGAGCCUAUUCCAAAAUGUAGACAAUUAAACCUUGAAAGGAGGCAGCCAGGAUUUGACAGAGUUAAUUUCCCACAGCUGAUUACUCAAAUUGAUUUUACUUUUACUUCGUACACAGUCACUCUCCCCUCCUUCCCAUUUUCUCUUUCCCUCAUUCCUGCUGGAAAGCAGGGAAGGUACUGGGAUCCUAACAGAGCCUUUGGGAAAACUGAUGCAAUUUUUAAACCCUUCACUAUGUAAAACCCUCCAAGGGGUGCACGAGGGUUGUGUGGUGUGGGACAGCCCUGGUGGCCUUUAGGGACAGCCACCACAUUCCCAGUGGCCCUACAGCCUGGUGGCAUCAGAAGCAGCCCUGAUGCUCCCAUUCCACAGCUGCCACAUGAGAGGGUUUUUUUCAGGAUCAGAAGAAAAUUCUGGAACUGUGCUGGCACGAUGUGAGUGCUGAGGUGGAAUCCAAAGAAUGGAUCUCUCAAUUGCAGUUCAAAAUGGAGUCAGCUGUUAUUAGCCCACGAUAAUUGCACCAGCAUCAAAGAUGGGUGAGAAAAGAUAAAAGGAGCUCUGCACAAAGUUACAGUUUUCAAAUAAAAGAAUGUGCUUAAGCACCAUUUUCCUGCACACCAGUAAGUCUCUGCUUUGAAGGAUCUGUUUAAUUAUCUCCUUUGUUUAAACCCUUGAGGGUGCCAAUUCAAGAGCGUUUUAGGGAAGAGCACUCCCAGAAAAAUCAAAAAACUUCUGGCAAAAAGUCAAUUCCACUUGUAUUUUUAAAUAUACCACUCUCAAAAGUGUAGUCACUUUGGGUUUUGGUUCCCAUCAAAACAUCCAUGCAGAAUGGAAAUGGAGUGGGGGAAAACAUCACCUCCAGGAGCAUUAUUGGGAUUUCAGCUCCACAGAGAGCACGGGGCAGGGUAGGAACCCUGUCAGCAAUUAAGGAAUAAUGAAUCCACCAGAAUAAUGGAUAUUGAUUAGGGACAUUUCUUUCUGAUAAAAUGAGGAGAGUCAGCAAAAGGCAGAGAUGUUCAACCUAAUUAUAGUAUGAGCUGAGACAAAG